CCUGACCUCGUGAUCCACCCGUCUCGGCCUCCCAAAGUGCUGGGAUUACAGACUUGAGCCACCGCGCCCGGCCCAUGAGCAGUUACUGAUUGAGUCACAGCCUCACCACUGCAGCCAGAGCUGCCAGGUCACUGAACCUCUGCAGGGCAAGCCCUCUACUCACUCAAAUUUACCGAGAGCUCAGUAGAAGCCAGGACCAUCGUCUGUUAUUUUAUUAACUAUUUGUUGGCCAUCGGCUCUAUGUGGGACUUUGUUCUACAGCAGUGACAAGAGCUGCCCUCAGGCAGUUUAGCACACAGGUUCGGAUGGGGUUUAAUGAGAUGCAUAACAUUUGUAGUAUGGCAGACAAUAGUGUUCACGAAGGGGGGAGGGCAGGGAAGUGCACAAGAAAGAGCCGCAAUUUUAUUGUAUUUUAUUUUUUUAGAGACAAGGUCUUGGUCUUUCCCCCAGGCUGGAGUGCAAUGGAGUGAUCAUAGCUCACUUCCGCCUGCAACUCCUGGCUCAAGCCAUCCUUCCACCUCAGCCUCCCCCGUAGCUGGGACUACAACCAUGUGCCACCAUGCCCGGCUUCUCAGGGCUGCAAUUUUAAAUCGGGCGAUAGAGAAGACCACCCUGUGGAGGUGGCAGGUUAUCAAGACAGAAGGUGUAGAGAAGAACCUUCCAGUCAAAGGAAAAAGGCAGGUCCUGCUGUUCUCAGGAAUGGCCAUAAAUACUAUCAUCCCCAUCUUAGAGACGGGGACAGGGUCGCAAAAUUGUCAGGGCGUUUCCUGGCUCCUCAACAGCUGGAUCCAAAGUCCUCUGGAGGAUAAGCCGCCCUGCCUGGGGCCGACCUCCCCUGGAGCGCGCGGGCGCGCAGGGCGCACAGGCCUCUUGGGCCCCGGGACCGGCUCAGGCUCAGGCUCGGCGUCAGCAAAGGGACCUGCGUGGCGCCCUGGGGCGGAGAAGGCCCGAAGGCCAGUGGUCGGCCACGGCAGAUGCGAAGCCGUGCACGACGAGCACAAUCUCCCUGGGGAGGAGAACAGCGAUGUCCUGUGAGCCCCGCCGCGCCCCACUGCGGGCGUAGCCCAGCGCCCUCGCCGCAGGUUCCCUCCUAUCCCGCCUGAGAAUGGGGUCCUCACUCCCGGCUUCAGCUGAGCCCCAAGCCCUGCAACUUCUGAAGGCGCGCCCCCUGCACCUGCCCACCUCAGGCCCCGCCUCCAGCCCAGGUACCCACCUCUUCCCGUUCCUCUCCCUCCUGUGCUCCACCCGACCCCAGCGUGCCCAUCAAGACGCCUGCGCUGGACCCCAGCCUGGAUCAUCACCCUUGCCUCAAACAGCUUCUCCCCGGAUUUCCACCGCCGAGAUUCCCAGGGCACAGCCUCCCCGUUAGGCUCCUCCCCUGCGACUGGCUCAGUCCUCGCCCUAGACGCCCCGCCCAUGUCACAGGCCUGGCGGGUCCCUCUCAUCAGGCUUGUGCCCCCCGGUUCCACUUCCUCCAGGAAGCCUUCCUCCGGACAGAGAGACCCUUCCCCUGUUAUCAGGGACCUCGCCCACUGGUCCGCCUUGCUCCACCUUUUUUUGCGGCCCCAUUGUGCUGCUGGACCUGAGGAACAGGGUUGACAGUGAACCCCACAUAGACAGGGCCCGGGUACCAGGGAUUCAGGCAGUAGAGCAGCUGGACGCUGAAGAAGUGCCCGGCCUCACCCCGAUUCCCGCUGGACCCUUCGAAUUUUAGGAACUUUUCACUAACGAAACACAUUUCUGUGUCAGCACCGACAUCAAGAAGAGAACCUCACCAGUACCUCAGAACCCGCUUUGUCCCCCGCCUGGUUUCUUCCCUCAGGUGCCUGCUGUGCUGCCGUCUCACCCAUCUGUAGUUCAGUGCAGCAGCCCCUGUAGGCCACCUGGCCGAUCGGGUCACAGUCCUGCUGGACCCUCAGGUUCACUCAGGGGCUGGGGGUUCCCAGGGGGUCCUCCAACAGCUCAGUGCAGCAUGCUGGGGGGUCAGGGCCAGCACCUGUCCCUGGGGCCUCAGGCCUCCCUUCCUUCCCACAGCCGCCAAGAUCGCAGGUCUCUACAAUGACUCGGAGCCACCCCGGAAGACCAUGCGCACGGGGGUGCUGAUGACCCUGCUGCAGCAGUCGGCCAUGACCCUGCCCCUGUGGAUCGGGAAGCCCGGUGACAAGUGAGGGCAGCAGCUGCGAGGGAGGGGCUGGUGCCCAGGGGCUGGGACUGGCCCUUUGUUCUGCUCACAGGCCCCCACUCCUCUGUGGGGCCAUCCCCGCCUCAGGGGACUACGUGGCCAGACCUGGAGACAAGGUGGCUGCCCGGGUGAAGGCCGUGGAUGGGGACGAGCAGUGGAUCCUGGCCGAGGUGGUCAGUUACAGCCAUGCCACCAACAAGUGAGUGACAGCAGCCCGAGGGCUGCUCUCAGCCCCUUCUGUCCCCCUGCCCCACAGCCCCAGGAUGACUACUCUAUCCUGUUUGAAGACACCUCCUAUGCAGAAGGCUACUCCCCUCACCUCAGUGUGGCCCAGAGGUAGCUGGUGGCUUCCAAGGAGCCCAAGAAAAAGUGACACCGCCCGGUGGACUCGACAUCCUCCACCAUCCUGGGGCAGGACAGCAGAGGAUAUGCUGGGAUUAAACAGACAUCCCCUCUCC